CCAAUAGCGUAUAUUAAAGUUGUUGCAGUUAAAAAGCUCGUAGUUGAAUUUCGAGAUCAAAUUGUUGGUCGUGCCUCGGUACGCACUGGCAUUAUUGGUUUCUCCCUUCUGAAGAACCACGAUGUCAUUAAUUUGGUGUCGUGGGGAAUCAGGACUGUUACUUUGAAAAAAUUAGAGUGUUUAAAGCAGGCUCACGCUUGAAUACAUUAGCAUGGAAUAAUGAAAUAGGACGUUUGAUUCUAUUUUGUUGGUUUCUAGGAUCGACGUAAUGAUUAAUAGGGAUAGUUGGGGGCAUUAGUAUUCAAUUGUCAGAGGUGAAAUUCUUGGAUUUAUUGAAGACUAACUACUGCGAAAGCAUUUGCCAAGGAUGUUUUCAUUAAUCAAGAACGAAAGUUAGGGGAUCGAAGACGAUCAGAUACCGUCGUAGUCUUAACCAUAAACUAUGCCGACUAGGGAUCGGAUGAUGUUAAUUUUUUAAUGACUCAUUCGGCGCCUUACG
rnacentral:rRNA from 1 species